GAUGAACGCUGGCGGCGUGCUUAACACAUGCAAGUCGAACGGAAAGGCCCAAGCUUGCUUGGGUACUCGAGUGGCGAACGGGUGAGUAACACGUGGGUGAUCUGCCCUGCACUUCGGGAUAAGCCUGGGAAACUGGGUCUAAUACCGGAUAGGACGAUGGUUUGGAUGCCAUUGUGGAAAGUUUUUUCGGUGUGGGAUGAGCUCGCGGCCUAUCAGCUUGUUGGUGGGGUAAUGGCCUACCAAGGCGUCGACGGGUAGCCGGCCUGAGAGGGUGUACGGCCACAUUGGGACUGAGAUACGGCCCAGACUCCUACGGGAGGCAGCAGUGGGGAAUAUUGCACAAUGGGCGCAAGCCUGAUGCAGCGACGCUGCGUGGGGGAUGACGGCCUUCGGGUUGUAAACUCCUUUCGCUAGGGACGAAGCGUUUUUGUGACGGUACCUGGAGAAGAAGCACCGGCUAACUACGUG
rnacentral:rRNA from 1 species